UGUUACAAUGGGGGGUACGAGAGGGCCGCUACCACGCGAGUGGAUGCCAAUCCCCAAAACCUCUCUCAGUUCGGACUGGAGUCUGCAACCCGACUCCACGAAGCUGGAUUCGCUAGUAAUCGCGCAUCAGCCACGGCGCGGUGAAUACGUUCCCGGGCCUUGUACACACCGCCCGUCAAGCCAUGGGAGCCGGGGGUACCUGAAGUGCGUAACCGCGAGGAGCGCCCUAGGGUAAAACUGGUGACUGGGGCUAAGUCGUAACAAGGUACC
rnacentral:rRNA from 1 species